GUGUCUUAAGUAGCAGAAACUCAUUUUCUCCAAACUGCAUUUAGCUAACUUUCAUUUGAUCCAUGACCUUUUCUCCAGCACUCUCUCGGCCAUUUUUAUUACCUGCUCCAAAAGCUUGAUUGCUCAAACCCCAAUGAAUUACUUUCUCCUGUGUAUACUGAAAUAAGCACAAUUUUUUCCCCAAAAUGCAGGAAUCCUCAUUUAACACAUUCAGGUUGCACACAUCUGUCAAUAACUGAACUCCAGAACAUUUAACUGCUUUCAACGUUUUUAACAGCACACCAUUUGGGCCAACUGCUUUACCCAUCUCCCUCUUUUUUCUUUGUAUCUCCCCAAAGAAGCACACUCACAGGUUAAGAACUUGUGCUGUAUUAU